CUUAGGGCCUCGAUAAGUUGCUGAGGCUGGCUUUUGAACUCCUGAUCCUCCUGCCUCAGCCUUCCCAGUGGAGAAACAGGGAUUUCUUGAGAAGAAGCCUAACCAAGAAGUGGCUAGCCAGCAAAUCCCACAGGUGGCCUCAAUGCAAGUGACCGAGCAUCAACACUAAUUCUUCAGUUUCUCAAGGGAAAUCAAUGGCAGAAGUUCAACAAGAAAAGCUGCAUCUGCGACUCCAGAUAGUCACUUUUUGCUAAGAAAAGAGCUACAAAACAGGUUUUUCUGGGAAGCCUGUCAACAUUCCAGAUAGCAAUUCUACUGUAUUGCCAUCCUCAAUAUCCAGGUUCUGAGGCUGGAUUUUAACAGAGAGGAUGUGGGAACCCUAGCAUCUUUCAAAUUGUACCAGGGCCUCAGCAUUAUGAAGGAUAAUUCCUGACAACUUGGAGAAAACACUACGGAGUUGCUAUGAAUGGUUAUCUUUGGAGGGGUUGUAUGUCAUUGGGCAACGUCCUGGAAGAUCACUCUCCACUAUUUUCCACCCUGCUGUCUGCCAUGAAAUGGCUCUCUGUAGACAGCAUCCAUGGCUCCCAGUUAGGUUGGAGUAAAGGAAGCAGCCAAGGGAACAUCGAGUCUGCUGAGCGUGGUACCCAGCUCCAAACAGAAACUGAAGAUUUCUAAAUGUAACAAAAAUAGAAUUUUUAUCUUAAUAUAGUAAAAAACAACCACAGUGGGAUGCAAACAGAAAUGCCUUUAAGAACAAAAAGCCAAUCUUUGAAUGAAUAUUAAAAUGGUUGAAAGGAAAAUGCAAACAUGAUUCUAAAUGCAAAGUAAUGAGGCGUAUCAAAUCUAAUUGAAAACACAGAGGAGAUUUAUAGAGGCAGAGAUGAAUUAUGUGGAGUGAAAUUCUAAUUUAUAGCAAGGCUUGGUGUUUCUAAGACUUUCUGUGAACGUAAGUCAGGUAGUCUACAUCCCAGUCCCAGGAGAGCUGUACAAUUAUUCACUGUUCACACAAAAGCCAAGUGAGAUUCUGAAGGUGACAUAACUUCCUCAAGGCCACAGAGCUGAAGUCACAUAUCAGAAUCUUCCCUGUCAGGAUUUGAAACAGAAUUAUAUAUCAACACAUGGCCUCAUGUGUGUACCCACUCACUCACUGAAUUUGUUGACAAGUGAUGUAAGCAUCAAUGACAUACUAUAUUAAUCUUAGAUUAAUAAAUUUUCCUGGGAAUUUAGUAUAUGGAUAUUAUGGGGGUUGAUAAAUUAAUUUUUAAAUAAAUGUUAGGGAAAUAUGAUUGCUUUUGAUGCUUUAUGUGGCAUAAAUUAAAAAGUUUUACCUAUCCAAUGCAGAAUAAAUUCUAUGAUGGAACAGGGGAAAUAUAACUGCUUAUUUCAUAUUUGAUUUCAGAGCUUCAUCUAAAUAUCUUUUUUUUUUUUAAAAAAGACAUUCUAGGUUCUAUUAUUUAAAACAUUGGAAGAAAAAUGAAAGCUUUCAGCGAUCUGUUAAAUUUCAGGCUAGAGCACAUUCCAUAAAGUACAAGGAAGAGGAUCAAAGACAAAUGGGGGAAGGCUCUGGUACCAUCGAUCAAAUAUGUUAGUUCAGAAAGUGAAGUUUGUAAAGGAGAAAUUUACUACAGUGAGUAGAGUUGAUGCUUCUUGUAGAUGGAAUAAUGCUUCCUCCCCGCAAAGCCAUUCUCAUCCUAAUCUCCAGAGUCUGUGAACAUGUUACCCUACAUGAAAAGAGACGCAGCAAGAAUUAUUAAGUCAAACAUAUGGAGAGAAAGAUUGUCCUGCAGUAUGUGACUAGGCCAAGUGUAAAUGCAAGUGUCCUUCAAUGGACAAGAGGGAAGUAGGAGAAUCUGAGUGAGAGAAGGACAGAAGCCGAGGUUGGACUGGGGAGAUUUGAAGACGCCAUGCUGCUUGCUUUGGAGAUUGAGGCAGAGACCACAAGCCAAGGAAUGUAGGUGACUGGUAGAAAAGGCCAAGACUCCUCUCCUAGCGAAACUCUGCCAGUGUACUUGAACUUCUGACCUCAAGAAGUGUCAGAUAAUAAAUUUAUAAUGUUUGAGGCUGAAA